GGGGAGAAGAGAGGGAGGCUGCGCAGCUCAAAGGUGAAAUUGUUCUGUUUUCAUUCCUGGCAGGGCAGAAAGCCAGUGCACCGCGUUGGGGCCAGGAUCCACGGCUCACAGCUUCCACCCCCCACCCCACCCCCCCGGCUCUGGAUCCGGUUCUGCUCCCAGCCUGCUGACGUCUAUGUUGCUGCUCAGUCUCCUUUGGCUCCUCAGAGCCUCCCCUGGGGAAGCAGCCCAACUGCAGAGCACUCCAGCGUCCCCUGCAGGCGACAGCUUUAGCAGACAGGGACCCAGCUGGGGAAUCUUCAUGCACCCUGCUUCCCCAGCGGCUGGGAUGAGAGGUGACAUCCCAGCUCAUAGGAAAGGCAUGCCUGAGUCCCUACACAGAUGCUAAAGCCAGGUUACAAGAGAUGGGGAUGCUUCACGCUCACUCCCACUGUGGCUGUCUGAUCCUUAGUGCUGUUAUAUGUAACACAUGUGUUGUGUGUAAUGAAUGAAAGGGCCCAAGCUAGGAGUAUUGUACAUACCAGUAAUUCUAGCACUCAUGAGGCAGAGGUAUGAUGGCUGAGGGCACCUAAGCUGUGACUGACAGUUUUGCCAGGGAGAGAUAAGUCUGUGUAUUUGGAGGUAUGGAGAGGACGCUUGCUGGACCAGUGUGAUGACUCAGCACAUAGAGAUGUUGCUGACAAAUCUGAUCAUCCGUGUUCCAUCUCCAAGAGGAGAGAAAAGAUGCUCAAGGUUGUCCUCUGGCUUCCACAUUGCAUUGUGGGUUCACGUUCCCUUCCUUACAUAUGUAAUAAAAUAAAAUAAAAUAAAAUAAAACAAGCCAGGACAGAA
rnacentral:lncRNA from 1 species